rnacentral:rRNA from 1 species
AUGGGAACGCGAAGAACCUUACCUAGACUUGACAUCUCCUGAAUAGUGUAGAGAUACAUGAAGCCCUUCGGGGCAGGAAGACAGGUGGUGCAUGGUUGUCGUCAGCUCGUGUCGUGAGAUGUUGGGUUAAGUCCCGCAACGAGCGCAACCCUUAUUACUAGUUGCUACCAUUAAGUUGAGCACUCUAGUGAGACUGCCCGGGUUAACCGGGAGGAAGGCGGGGAUGACGUCAAAUCAUCAUGCCCCUUAUGUCUAGGGCAACACACGUGCUACAAUGGUGAGUACAGAUAGAUGCGAUACCGCAAGGUGGAGCCAAACUCUAAAACUCAUCCCAGUUCGGAUUGUAGGCUGCAACUCGCCUACAUGAGGUUGGAGUUGCUAGUAAUCGCGAAUCAGAAUGUCGCGGUGAAUACGUUCCCGGGUCUUGUACACACCG